GGUUAAGUGACUAAGCGUACAUGGUGGAUGCCUUGGCAGUCAGAGGCGAUGAAGGACGUACUAACCUGCGAUAAGCCGUGAGCAGUCGGUAAGAGACAUUACGACUCACGGAUUUCCGAAUGGGGAAACCCACUUAGCAUAAGCUAGGUAUCGCUACGUGAAUACAUAGCGUAGCGAGGCGAACCGGGAGAACUGAAACAUCUAAGUACCCCGAGGAAAAGAAAUCAACCGAGAUUCCCUCAGUAGCGGCGAGCGAACGGGGAUUAGCCCUUAAGCAUCUUGGAAGUUAGUGGAACGGUCCUGGAAAGGCCGGCGAUACAGGGUGAUAGCCCCGUACACGAAAACGACCUUGAUGUGAAAUCGAGUAGGGCGGGACACGUGACAUCCUGUCUGAAUAUGGGGGGACCAUCCUCCAAGGCUAAAUACUCCUGACUGACCGAUAGUGAACCAGUACCGUGAGGGAAAGGCGAAAAGAACCCCUGUGAGGGGAGUGAAAUAGAACCUGAAACCGUGUACGUACAAGCAGUGGGAGCCCUUCGGGGUGACUGCGUACCUUUUGUAUAAUGGGUCAGCGACUUACAUUUUGUAGCGAGGUUAACCGUAUAGGGGAGCCGUAGGGAAACCGAGUCUUAACUGGGCGUCUAGUUGCAAGGUGUAGACCCGAAACCGGGUGAUCUAGCCAUGGGCAGGUUGAAGGUUGAGUAACAUCAACUGGAGGACCGAACCCACUAACGUUGCAAAGUUAGGGGAUGACCUGUGGCUGGGGGUGAAAGGCCAAUCAAACUCGGAGAUAGCUGGUUCUCCCCGAAAGCUAUUUAGGUAGCGCCUCGGACGAAUACUACUGGGGGUAGAGCACUGUUUGGGCUAGGGGGUCAUCCCGACUUACCAACCCCAUGCAAACUCCGAAUACCAGUAAGUAAUAUCCGGGAGACACACGGCGGGUGCUAACGUCCGUCGUGAAGAGGGAAACAACCCAGACCGCCGGCUAAGGUCCCAAAGUUCUGGUUAAGUGGGAAACGAUGUGGGAAGGCUCAGACAGCUAGGAUGUUGGCUUAGAAGCAGCCAUCAUUUAAAGAAAGCGUAAUAGCUCACUAGUCGAGUCGGCCUGCGCGGAAGAUGUAACGGGGCUCAAACCAGGCACCGAAGCCGCGGAUUCAC
rnacentral:rRNA from 1 species